rnacentral:rRNA from 1 species
GACGAACCGUGCGAACGUUAUUCGGAAUCACUGGGCUUAAAGGGCGCGUAGGCGGGCCGACGAGCCAGGGGUGAAAUCCUCCAGCUUAACUGGAGAACAGCCUUUGGGACCGGCGGCCUCGAGGGGUGCAGGGGCAUGCGGAACUCAGGGUGGAGCGGUGAAAUGCGUAGAGAUCCUGAGGAACACCGGUGGCGAAAGCGGCGUACUGGACACCUACUGACGCUGAGGCGCGAAAGCCAGGGGAGCGAACGGG